rnacentral:misc_RNA from 1 species
GAAGGAAACAAAAUAACAUCACUAGCAUUAUUGCUCAUGCAAGAUUUCAUCCAAAGAUCAAAGUCAAGAUUACUAGAAGGCAAGAGUUCAUGUGUUAAUUAAAACACUAAAAAGCAUUAAAAACAAAAGUAACCAAACAGAGACUUUGGAUACCCAUAGAUUUAUAGAAUUGAGUUUGACUAGUACUCUGUUAUGAUUAAUAAGGAGAAUAAGGGACUGCGAUUGUAUGUGAAAGAAAUAGAAUAGUUAGGAUGGCCUGUGGUAGUUAAUUGAAAUUUGCAAAGAAGGUUGUAAUUGGCAUGAACAUUCAUGGAAAGAGCUGGUAACUAUAUAAAUAAUAGCUAUUGUAUUUGAAGAAGAUUGAUUUCUGGAAAAAUAUCAAGAGCCUAUUCAAUUUCUCUCUCAUUUUCUCUAUUCUCUUCUCCUUAAAACUCUAUUUCUAUUAUUUCUGCUAUUUGAGAUCUUGUUGUUAGGGAAUCUG